AGAGGUGGGCGUGCACUCCCUAAUCAGGUGGUUGUCGCAAGAAAUCAAUCGUUCUAUUAUCGAGGUCUGGGAGAUGGGAGUGGCUGCUUCCUCUGAGCUACAUUACCUGCAGCCACUUCCCCGAACAUACAGUGACUGGCCUUCCCUAUACCACCUCCUGACCUUGCAGUGGUGGUGGUGGUAGUAGUGGUGCCAUUUCAGUACAUGUAACAAAAGUAGGAGGGAUCUCAUGUUUGAUUUGCUGUCGUGUUUCUUGCGUUCUCUUCUUCGCCUGUAUAACUUUUUCUCCCAUUUUCUCCUCUUCAGUCCCCCGCCAGGUUAUAAGCACGGUGAAGCUACCUCACGUCAACUCACAACUUUCCUAGCAGCUGGAAAUCGAACGAGGAAAAGCGACAGAUUAUUAGUAAGAUGUGGAAGUGGAGGUGGAGGUGGAGGUGAAGUCUAUCCGUCAUCCGCCAUCCGCCCAUCAUCCCUCCCUCCCACCCACCGUCCCUCUCUACCUCUCUCCCUUCACCUGUUGCUUCGUUGGUCGCGUGAGGAGGCCGGAGCCGAGCCCAAGCACUCUCCCACAUCCCAGCAUUUAUGGCCAAUAUUCCAGAGCCAUGGAGGAGAUUGGGAAAUCGAUGGAUAUUCAGACGUCAGGUCCAUCCGGUGGGCAGGAGUGAGGUGACUGAGUGGGGUGUCCAAGUGUUAUUUCUAUUUUGCUUUCACCACAUGUCGCGCGGCCUCUGUUUCCGCCUCGCUGUUCUUUUGAUCGAAGUGGUAAACUUGUGACUGCCGCGGUGGUAGGAAAGGGGAAGAGAGAGAACGGAAGGCUUAGAAAAUUAGUCUGCGUGAAGCGAGGCACGUGCCAUUUCUUUCUUUCCGCGAUUCUGGGCGGGUCCUGAGUGAAAAGGGUUGCGCCAGACGGGAUGCGCAGGGUUGAGGGUUACCGGCGGCGCGUUGGCGGAGAUAAGCCAGGCAGAGGGUUUGUUUACAUCGCCAGUGUGGAGCCCAGUGUCUGUGAAAGUUUACACACUCCUCCUUCGCCAGUCGUUCCUCCACCUUGUGAAAACUUGGCUGCAUUUUCACUCCGCACGUGGACGAAUCAGCCGAGACCGGUGCCGCGCGACUGUUUUUGUGAGUGCAAAGGAGAAAGGAAGGAAGAGAGGAAGAAGUGAAGGAGUGAAGGGCGGCUGGACGAAAGAAAUAAAGAAAAUACAUUCAAAUAAAUAAAAAAAAUAACCAAAUAACGAUAAAAAAAGAAAUAGAAGAAAACUGCUAAGGAUAUACGUAGAGAAAAGAACAGAGAAGGAAAGGCAAGAGAGAGAAAGAAAGAGAGAGAGAAAAAAAAACAAAAACACUACCACACGCUAUCCUCAAGCAGUUUCUCGUGAACACCCUGCGCUCAUAUUACGGUCAAGUUCACAAGUUAACGACCUCAUUUCAAGUCCACACCAGUAGGCCGCCACCACGUCUUCUCUGCGUUGUGAUCCCAAGGACACGAUUAGUUACUUUCCCCUCCCCACCCUGUUGCCCCGCGCUAUGCCUAUCAACUCCCGCCCUUCAGCCAGCCGCCACACGCACAGGCUGCCGCCCCUGCCACAGGGUCAGGAGACGCGCAGCCCUCACCAGAGUCCCCCGCACCCUCACGCCUUCGGGUCCCAUUACAAGUGAGCCAAGCACCUACUGUCCAUCUGUUGCGUCCUGUCCGUCUGUCCGUCCACCUGCCCGCCUGUCUUUAUCCUCAGCCCAGUGUUUUCCCGGUCCUUGUCUGAUGUUCAUGUGCUCUUUUAUAUAAUUUAACUCGUCUGCCAGUAUUAAUGGUAAUGAUAUUGUUAGUAUUUGUGUUUCAUGUUUUUCUUUUCUGAUUUUCAAUGUGGUUUUGAGUGUGAUUAUGAAAUGUUGGCUUUAAAUAUAUGGAUAAGUAGAGUUGUGUCUGUCAG